rnacentral:rRNA from 1 species
UACGGAGGGUGCAAGCGUUACCCGGAAUCACUGGGCGUAAAGGGUGCGUAGGCGGGUCUUUUAAGUCAGGGGUGAAAUCCCGGGGCUCAACCUCGGAACUGCCUUUGAUACUGUUAGUCUUGAGUCCGGAAGAGGUGGGUGGAAUUCCUAGUGUAGAGGUGAAAUUCGUAGAUAUUAGGAAGAACACCGGUGCGAAGGCGGCCCACUGGUCCGGUACUGACGCUGAGGUGCGAAAGCGUGGGGAGCAAACAGG